rnacentral:RNase_P_RNA from 1 species
CCAGUUGGCUGGGCGGCCGCACCGGCGGGAACCGAAAGGUUGCCGGUGAGGAAAGUCCGGGCUCCAGGAAACACGGUGCCGGCUAACGGCCGGCGGGGGCGACCCCAGGGAAAGUGCCACAGAGAGAAUACCGCCCGGCAUGCCGGGUAAGGGUGAAAGGGUGGGGUAAGAGCCCACCGCGCGACUGGUAACAGAAGCGGCAAGGUAAACCCCACCGGGAGCAAGACCGAAUAGGGAUGGCGCGAGGGGAAACUCUCGGGGCGGUUUCCAGCCCAGUCAUCCGGGUAGGUUGCGUGAGGUGGACGGCAACGUCCAUCCAAGAAGAAUGGUCGCCGCGUCGGGCUGUCUUCGGACUGCCCGGCCGUACAGAACCCGGCUUACAGGCCAACUGGCGCU